rnacentral:rRNA from 1 species
GACGAACGCUGGCGGCGUGCCUAAUACAUGCAAGUCGAACGCUUCUUUCCUCCCGAGUGCUUGCACUCAAUUGGAAAGAGGAGUGGCGGACGGGUGAGUAACACGUGGGUAACCUACCCAUCAGAGGGGGAUAACACUUGGAAACUGGUGCUAAUACCGCAUAACAGUUUAUGCCGCAUGGCAUAAGAGUGAAAGGCGCUUUCGGGUGUCGUUGAUGGAUGGACCCGCGGUGCAUUAGCUAGUUGGUGAGGUAACGGCUCACCAAGGCCACGAUGCAUAGCCGACCUGAGAGGGUGAUCGGCCACACUGGGACUGAGACACGGCCCAGACUCCUACGGGAGGCAGCAGUAGGGAAUCUUCGGCAAUGGACGAAAGUCUGACCGAGCAACGCCGCGUGAGUGAAGAAGGUUUUCGGAUCGUAAAACUCUGUUGUUAGAGAAGAACAAGGACGUUAGUAACUGAACGUCCCCUGACGGUAUCUAACCAGAAAGCCACGGCUAACUACGUG